UACAGAGGGGGCAAGCGUUGUUCGGAAUUACUGGGCGUAAAGGGCUCGUAGGCGGCCAACUAAGUCAGACGUGAAAUCCCUCGGCUUAACCGGGGAACUGCGUCUGAUACUGGAUGGCUUGAAUCCGGGAGAGGGAUGCGGAAUUCCAGGUGUAGCGGUGAAAUGCGUAGAUAUCGGAGGAACACCGGUGGCGAAGGCGGCAUCCUGGACCGGCAUUGACGCUGAGGAGCGAAAGCCAGGGGAGCAAAGCGGG
rnacentral:rRNA from 1 species